CAAGGCGUGGUGAAGGGGCUAACACGAAAGAUUGUGGUUCUUUUAUUCGAGGGUUCAAAUCCCUCCGUCUUGA
rnacentral:tRNA from 1 species